UACGGAGGGUGCAAACGUUGCUCGGAAUCAUUGGGCGUAAAGCGCACGUAGGCGGCCUGAUAAGUCGGGUGUGAAAGCCCUGGGCUCAACCCAGGAAGUGCACACGAAACUGUCAGGCUUGAAUAUGGAAGAGGGUCGCGGAAUUCCCGGUGUAGAGGUGAAAUUCGUAGAUAUCGGGAGGAACACCAGUGGCGAAGGCGGCGACCUGGGCCAAUAUUGACGCUGAGGUGCAAAAGCGGUGGGGAGCGAAUCCGGAUUGAGAAAC
rnacentral:rRNA from 1 species